rnacentral:rRNA from 1 species
UACGUAGGGGGCAAGCGUUGUCCGGAUUUAUUGGGCGUAAAGAGCGUGUAGGCGGCCAGGUAGGUCAGCUGUGAAAACUCGAGGCUCAACCUCGAGACGUCGGUUGAAACCACCUGGCUAGAGUCCGGAAGAGGAGAGUGGAAUUCCUGGUGUAGCGGUGAAAUGCGCAGAUAUCAGGAAGAACACCAAUGGCGAAGGCAGCUCGCUGGGACGUGACUGACGCUGAGACGCGAAAGCGUGGGGAGCAAACAGG